rnacentral:rRNA from 1 species
UGAACGCUAGCGGCAGGCCUAAUACAUGCAAGUCGAGCGGCAAGUCGAGGAGUAAUCUAAGACCUUAGAGCGGCGCACGGGUGCGUAACGCGUAUGCAACCUACCUAUCACAGGGGAAUAGCCUUUGGAAACAGGGAUUAAUACCGCAUAAAGCAGGGACACCGCAUGGUGAUAUUGCUAAAGAUUUAUCGGUGAUAGAUGGGCAUGCGUCUGAUUAGUUAGUUGGCAGGGUAACGGCCUACCAAGACGAUGAUCAGUAGGGGGCGUCAGAGCGUGGUCCCCCACACUGGCACUGAGAUACGGGCCAGACUCCUACGGGAGGCAGCAGUAGGGAAUAUUGGGCAAUGGAUGCAAGUCUGACCCAGCCAUGCCGCGUGCAGGAAGAAGGUCCUCUGGAUUGUAAACUGCUUUUAUCGGGGAAGAAUAGUUUUCUUGCGAGGGAAUGUGACGGUACCCGAUGAAUAAGCCACGGCUAACUACGUG